UACGGGGGGGCAAGCGUUGUUCGGAAUUACUGGGCGUAAAGGGCUCGUAGGUGGCCAACUCAGUCAGACGUGAAAUCCCUCAGCUUAACUGGGGAACUGCGUCUGAUACUGGAUGGCUUGAGUUUGGGAGAGGGAUGCGGAAUUCCAGGUGUAGCGGUGAAAUGCGUAGAUAUCUGGAGGAACACCGGUGGCGAAGGCGGCAUCCUGGACCAACACUGACACUGAGGAGCGAAAGCCAGGGGAGCAAACGGG
rnacentral:rRNA from 1 species